rnacentral:rRNA from 1 species
AGAGUUUGAUCCUGGCUCAGGACGAACGCUGGCGGCGUGCCUAAUACAUGCAAGUAGAACGCUGAAGGAGGAGCUUGCUUCUCUGGAUGAGUUGCGAACGGGUGAGUAACGCGUAGGUAACCUGCCUGGUAGCGGGGGAUAACUAUUGGAAACGAUAGCUAAUACCGCAUAAGAGUGGAUGUUGCAUGACAUUUGCUUAAAAGGUGCACUUGCAUCACUACCAGAUGGACCUGCGUUGUAUUAGCUAGUUGGUGGGGUAACGGCUCACCAAGGCGACGAUACAUAGCCGACCUGAGAGGGUGAUCGGCCACACUGGGACUGAGACACGGCCCAGACUCCUACGGGAGGCAGCAGUAGGGAAUCUUCGGCAAUGGACGGAAGUCUGACCGAGCAACGCCGCGUGAGUGAAGAAGGUUUUCGGAUCGUAAAGCUCUGUUGUAAGAGAAGAACGAGUGUGAGAGUGGAAAGUUCACACUGUGACGGUAUCUUACCAGAAAGGGACGGCUAACUACGUGCCAGCAGCCGCGGUAAUACGUAGGUCCCGAGCGUUGUCCGGAUUUAUUGGGCGUAAAGCGAGCGCAGGCGGUUAGAUAAGUCUGAAGUUAAAGGCUGUGGCUUAACCAUAGUAGGCUUUGGAAACUGUUUAACUUGAGUGCAAGAGGGGAGAGUGGAAUUCCAUGUGUAGCGGUGAAAUGCGUAGAUAUAUGGAGGAACACCGGUGGCGAAAGCGGCUCUCUGGCUUGUAACUGACGCUGAGGCUCGAAAGCGUGGGGAGCAAACAGGAUUAGAUACCCUGGUAGUCCACGCUGUAAACGAUGAGUGCUAGGUGUUAGACCCUUUCCGGGGUUUAGUGCCGUAGCUAACGCAUUAAGCACUCCGCCUGGGGAGUACGACCGCAAGGUUGAAACUCAAAGGAAUUGACGGGGGCCCGCACAAGCGGAGGAGCAUGUGGUUUAAUUCGAAGCAACGCGAAGAACCUUACCAGGUCUUGACAUCCCUCUGACCGCUCUAGAGAUAGAGCUUUCCUUCGGGACAGAGGUGACAGGUGGUGCAUGGUUGUCGUCAGCUCGUGUCGUGAGAUGUUGGGUUAAGUCCCGCAACGAGCGCAACCCCUAUUGUUAGUUGCCAUCAUUUAGUUGGGCACUCUAGCGAGACUGCCGGUAAUAAACCGGAGGAAGGUGGGGAUGACGUCAAAUCAUCAUGCCCCUUAUGACCUGGGCUACACACGUGCUACAAUGGCUGGUACAACGAGUCGCAAGCCGGUGACGGCAAGCUAAUCUCUUAAAGCCAGUCUCAGUUCGGAUUGUAGGCUGCAACUCGCCUACAUGAAGUCGGAAUCGCUAGUAAUCGCGGAUCAGCACGCCGCGGUGAAUACGUUCCCGGGCCUUGUACACACCGCCCGUCACACCACGAGAGUUUGUAACACCCGAAGUCGGUGAGGUAACCGUAAGGAGCCAGCCGCCUAAGGUGGGAUAGAUGAUUGGGGUGAAGUCGUAACAAGGUAGCCGUAUCGGAAGGUGCGGCUGGAUCACCU